GCCCGGUUAGCUCAAUCGGUAGAGCGUGAGACUCUUAAUCUCAAGGUUGCGGGUGAGUAGUCCUCUUCUCCAGGGAAUCCGUCCAAACCCGGAAUACUAACUUGCGCAGGUUCGACCCCCGCAUCGGGCU